GGGCUCAUAGGUAAACGGCAUACCGGUACAUUCGCAUUGUACAGUUCCGAGUUCAAUUCUCGGUGAGUCCACCA
rnacentral:tRNA from 1 species